UGAAGCUUUAGGGUAAUGUAUAAACAACAGGAAUGUUAUGUACAGUAUACAAAUAAUUCUAUAUGUAACGUUUUUGUUGUCUUAAAUUGCUCUCCGCUCAACACG
rnacentral:pre_miRNA from 1 species